AUUCCUACGGGAGGCAGCAGUGGGGAAUUUUCCACAAUGGGCGAAAGCCUGAUGGAGCAAUACCGCGUGAGGGAUGACGGCCUAUGGGUUGUAAACCUCUUUUUUCAGGGAGGAAUCAAUGACGUGUACCUGAAGAAUAAGCAUCGGCUAACUCCGUGCCAGCAGCCGCGGUAAGACGGGGGAUGCAAGUGUUAUCCGGAAUCACUGGGCGUAAAGCGUCUGUAGGUGGUCAAAUAAGUCAACUGUUAAAUCUUGAGGCUCAACCUCGAAAUCGCAGUCGAAACUAUUAGACUAGAGUAUAGUAGGGGUAAAGGGAAUUUCCAGUGGAGCGGUGAAAUGCGUAGAUAUUGGAAGGAACACCGAUGGCGAAGGCACUUUACUGGGCUAUUACUAACACUCAGAGACGAAAGCUAGGGUAGCAAAUGGGAUUAGAUACCCCAGUAGUCCUAGCUGUAAACCAUGGAUACUAGAUGUUGAACAGAUCGACCUGUGCAGUAUCAAAGCUAACGCGUUAAGUAUCCCGCCUGGGAAGUAUGCUCGCAAGAGUGAAACUCAAAGGAAUUGACGGAAU
rnacentral:rRNA from 1 species